CUGGCUCAGAACGAACGCUGGUGGCGUGUCUUAUACAUGCAAGUCGAGCGAGGCAGCAAUGCCGAGCGGCGAACGGGUGAGUAACGCGUAAGCAAUCUGCCCCAUAUCAGGAAAUACCCGUGCCAACGCGCGGUUAAUGUCCAGGAGAGUGGCCAGCCGCAUGGCUGGUUGACUAGAGAUUCAUCGGUAUGGGAUGAGCUUGCGCCCGAUUAGCUAGUUGGCGGGGCAACGGCCCACCAAGGCGACGAUCGGUAGCCGGCCUGAGAGGGUGAUCGGCCACAUUGGGACUGAGAUACGGCCCAGACUCCUACGGGAGGCAGCAGUAGGGAAUAUUGCACAAUGGGGGGAACCCUGAUGCAGCAACGCCACGUGUGGGAAGAAGCAUUUCGGUGUGUAAACCACUGUCGUGAGGGAAUAAGGCCCAGUUUCGGCUGGGAUUGAAUGUACCUCGAAAGGAAGCACCGGCAAACUUCGUGCCAGCAGCCGC
rnacentral:rRNA from 1 species